AUUGAACGCUGGCGGAAUGCUUUACACAUGCAAGUCGAACGGCAGCACGGACUUCGGUCUGGUGGCGAGUGGCGAACGGGUGAGUAAUGUAUCGGAACGUGCCCAGUCGUGGGGGAUAACGUAGUGAAAAUUACGCUAAUACCGCAUACGAUCUAUGGAUGAAAGCGGGGGAUCGCAAGACCUUGCGCGAUUGGAGCGGCCGAUAUCAGAUUAGGUAGUUGGUGGGGUAAAGGUCCACCAAGCCAACGAUCUGUAGCUGGUCUGAGAGGACGACCAGCCACACUGGAACUGAGACACGGUCCAGACUCCUACGGGAGGCAGCAGUGGGGAAUUUUGGACAAUGGGCGAAAGCCUGAUCCAGCCAUUCCGCGUGCAGGAUGAAGGCCCUCGGGUUGUAAACUGCUUUUGUACAGAACGAAAAGGUUUCUACUAAUACUAGGAGCUCAUGACGGUACUGUAAGAAUAAGCACCGGCUAACUACGUGCCAGCCGCCGCAGUAA
rnacentral:rRNA from 1 species